AUGGAUGAAAAAUAAGUCCUGCAAUGAGAAAGAUUCUGGACAGUAUAUCUUUAAAUAACAUAGAGCAUCCUUACAGUAAACAUCAGCCGUGUCUUGGCUCCUUGGGGUGUCGUGAGAAUGAGGAGGUUAGAGAAAGUACCUAUCCAUGCUUUCUCUUCCUGUCCUGCCAGCACACAAUGGAAGACAACAGACAUAAAAAAAAGAGGCUUUCCCAAUAUUACCUUUGAAGUCUGGUCAAUAUAUGUUCUGUUUCAAAGGGUUGUCCAAAGUGUAAGUAUUAACAGAAUUUUGAAUCUGUCUGCUUAUUUUUUGCAGAGUGGAACAAAGCUAAGGGUGAAUAACAAUUGUAGAAUUGGCAUAUUGAGAGCCCUGCAUUAAUAACCAGAACAAACAAAUAAUCAUCAAAUAGCAGCUCCCACCAGCAGCAGAAACAUUACAAAAUGGACUGCUUGAGCCAGAACUGCUCAGCAGUGGGAGUCAUUUCUCAUUAAUGCUCCACUAAAAUACAAGUACUUUUCCCAAAGCCUGAGGAUAGGGUAUUAGGAUAAAAGCAGAGGUUUUUGAGAGUCUCUGCUUAUCUUUAUAUUUUCAUAUUCUCAGGAGAAAAGGGGAUAUGAAGAGGACUGUAGCAAAGAGUAGAAGCACAGUAUACCUUAGUAUAAUUUCUUGACUCCACUAAUGUUUCCAAGACCCCUGACAUCCAUUAAAACUUGGAUUGUAUUAAAUGGAAAGAAUAGAAAGAUCCCUCCAGACUCAACACAGGCCUAAUUCACAACAAAGAUUGUCCUCAUUUUUAAAUACGUGAAUAGCCUUAUUAACAUGAUCAACACAGUGGGCAGGGAAUAUCAGUGGUGAGGAAAAAGCUUGUUUCUGAUGAGAGAUCAAAAUAUAAGGAUAGGUUAGGCUAUAUGAAAAGAAUUAAUAAAAUUCAUUGUCUGACCUGUUACUACA
rnacentral:lncRNA from 1 species